rnacentral:tRNA from 1 species
GGUCCCAUAGUAUAAUUGGAUAGUACAUCCGCCUCCUAAGCGGUCGAUUCCGGUUCAAGCCCGGAUGGGAUCAUCA